CUCAGCGUGAUUCACACUUAACGUCGCUGACAUCAGGCUGGUCCUGGAGUCCUCGGCACGGUCUGGCGACAAUCGGCAGCCUAUGCGAGGAAAGCGGUGAGCCUCCCUCUCCGUGGGUCUCGGAGGCGACGACGUACGGCAUUAACGAGCUGCCCCGUCUGCCUCCCUCACCGCGGCCUAAGCUGUUCCAACGGCACUCUCAUCUAAUUUCGGCUGAAGAGUUAAGUGUUCCCUGGAGGUCCGGAGGGCAGAACUGCUCAGACGCUUCUCCGGCAGUGAAGAAAAAAAGAAGACGCCUGUUCCAAAGGAGGGUCUCCCACUGGAGAUGGGGGCGGUGGUGACCCCUUCCAUUCACACCACCCUUUCAUCAGCAGAGAGCGUCCCACAAAUCCGUCCCACCUGAACCAGCCACGAGAGCAGUCCUUACACGUUCUAAGGUUCAGUUUCAACAUCACCUCCUCCAGGAAGCCUUCCCGGACUCGCCUGCUGAGAGUUAACUCUGAGCCCCAUCUUAGUACUCCAGGACUCUGCUCACCUCUCAUUGCCUUUAUUACCCUCUGCCUAACAUGAUGUUGUUUGGGAGUUUUCCGUACAUUUGCCCUCCUCCCUUCCAAAGAGCACACAAGGCAAGUUCUCAAAGGCCAGGACUAAAGAUGACAAAAAUCCAAGCCACGUUUCCUGGGAGCAGGAAGGCACAUCGAAAGGCUGAGUGGGGAGAGCACAGGGCCGCCGCACCUCUCUGACCUCCCGCACCUGCUCCCUGCUCGUUCAUGACUAAGCGAUUUCCACCUCGGCGUCCGCCUGCCAAGGGGCCCGCUGGCCGCGGGGACCGCACCACGGUGCCCAGAGCCGCGCACACUUCAACCCAUAAUUGGUGAGUCUUCUUCUUGGGAAAGAAAACCCCCUCCAUGUUUUGUUUUGUUUUGUUUUCCCCUUAAAUGAAACAAAUCCACCCACGCAGUUACUGGAAACUCAAGCAUGUGAAACUGAACCGUUUGCAAAGAGAAUUAGUCAGCAACCUUGCGAACGGCGGAGCAGUCCCCUCCGCGGUGGAGGUGGGGCCGCCCGUGCUCUCGAGGUUCCCAUCCAGGAGGGCACCGGGGGGCCCCUCGUGCACGCCCCGUCCCCCAACCUGCAGGUGACGCCCUGGGAGCGGCUGAACGCGAGGGCGAGUCCGUUCGCGCCAGGUCGAGGGUGAAACGCGCUUUUCUGGCUGCGUCCCGGUCCCGACUUUGUGACACCUGAUGGUUUCUAUAAGCCCUGGCUCAGGGAUCACACUCGAAUCCACAUCCCGCCCCAUCUAGUCAGGUGAACCUCUGCGGGUCUCAGUUUCCUCAUCCGUAAAAUGGGGGCAACGGAACCUGUCAGGAUCACCCAGUCUAUGUGGAGUCCUUUGCGUCCGGCACCAAACAGGCAGCGACACAUGCGGACUCUUGAGCAGGGAGGGGCGCCUUUCGUCAGGGAGCGACAGUGGGUGGACUGUUCUAGGGCUCUGUCCCUCCGGGUUGUGUCCCUUUGGCUGCGGUGGAAUUUGUGGAGUCGGUUUCCAGCCCUGCUGCCUCGCCCAGGAGGUGGAUGCGGGGGGGGGGGGGGGGAGAGGUGGGGAGAGGGGCCAGGCCAGGGGGACGAGUCUAGUCCCGGAGCCCUGAGCCCCAGGCUCCGCGACCCACGGCUCCUUGGCCUUGCCUUCUCCACUGUACAGGGAGGCCUCAGACAUUCUAUUCUGUGUUGUUUCUUUAAACAAAACACCCAGGGGUGCCUGGGUGGCUCAGUCAUUAGAGCAGCUGACUCUUGAUU